CGACACCAAUGGGUAAAAUUCAGAACAUAUAAUUUCUGAUAGAGGAGGGGGAGGAUGAUUCACCUAAUUAACAGGAAGCUUCUUCGCGCGGUGAGACCUCGCGACCCAAUCAGCCGCUCGAUUUGCUUCGCGUGGAGCAUAUAAGACCUGGACUAGAUUGCAAAGAUUCAUCAUGUCUCGGCACCUUUCAGCAAUUUCCUUUAAAUUCCAUGGGGGUUCGGCCCGGCCCAACACCAUCUCAACUAAAAUCAGAUUGUCACUUUCGCAUACCCAUCUAACUGGUUGAGUCGAGAAGUGCUUCACGUGGGAAUCAGCUUUUUCCUUCAAGUACUUCAACCCGUGCAAGAGAGAGAGGGCUUCGGCUUGGGUGGGUGAGGACGCCCUAGCUUCACCAGCAAAACCCGCAACCACCAUCCCCUUCGAGUUGCGGAUGAUUCCGGCGAUUGAGCAGAAGAAAUCUCCUGGGAACCACGCUGCGUCGACGUUAAGCUUCAGCGCAUCCCCCUCCGGCGGCUUCCAUUGACGAGGUCGACCAGAUCUGCUGUUUGAGGGGGUUUUGCUCUGAAGAUAAAAUCGUUUCGGGAUUUCCAGAUGUUCCACAGUACUGUUGCGACAAGUUCUUGCUCCGGUGGUGUAAAACUUCCUAGACAAUGAGGAUAUUAUCUUGAAUUUGACGUCCUUUGACAAAAGCCCCCUGUUCAGGCUCAAUGAUUGCUGGGAGGAUUUUUUUAUCUUCGGUAUCAAGGAUUGGUGGUAGAACAGGCCAUUGAUACCGUCGGGACCAGGAGCUUUGAGAGACCCCAGCUGGAAGACUGCUGUCUUCACUUCUUCCAUGGGUGUAACACAAGGAGAAGGGGACUAUGAUCUGAUCCAAUUGCUGGAAGGGCCUGUACUUCUGCAUCAUAGAAGGUAGGGGUGUUGCUAAAGCCACCUUCAUCUCUGGUUGCUGUUUCCAUGGUCUGUGCUGGGGAAAGGUUUUCUGGUACUGUUUCCUCUACUAUGUACUCUUCAAUGUUCCCAUAAAACGCUGCCCAAUGUGGACUGUGGUCACUAGCUUCCGCCUUUAACCAGGGGCCAAAUUUACCAGUCUUGUUCAUUGACCAUGGAGAUUCAUUAUAGGGGAUAAUAGCACAGUUAGUUGCAUAAUGACCGAUUCUUCCGCACGAGUAACAGUAGUGUGGCAAACGUUCAUAUUUGAAUUCCACCCACAACCAUUUGGUACCAAUAUCCAGUAUGGCCCCUGAUUUUAAUGGGGCUGUUAAGUCCAGAUCCACUUUAACCCGACCUCCUUUGUAUUGUCCUGUCCCCUGGGAUUCCACCUGAACUUCUAACACUUGCCCUAUUUUCUUUGCUAGGUCUUGAAGACCUCUUCUGUUCGCCAACCGGGAGGGAUACCUCCAAGCCGAACCUAGAAAGCAGUGCUGGUAAAGUCAUAGCAAUGUUCCGGGAUGUCAGGUACGCAUUGUUUUAGCACGAGUAAAUUACUGGAAAAAGACCAUGGUCCAGUUCGUAGAACUCUCUCCUUUUCCUCUUCUGAUUGAAACACAAAGGUAAAAAAACCUGGCUCUUUCUGGAUACCGAUCACAGAAUCUGAUCUCCACGCUUUCUUCAUGGUAGUCAGAAAAGCAGGGAAGUUGACAUUUGGUUUUGAAAAUAGUUUUCCGAAUAAGGUGCGGUUGCAUUCUGCCCUCUUUUGUGGUGAAAUAGUUGUGGUAGCUUCAACUAUGUCCCCCUCAGACCACAAGUCUCCCAGGCUUUUACAGAGUGCCGCUAAUCUCAACUCAUUUUCUUCUUUCCCUUCCAUAGUAACUUGUUAAAACAGGGGGAGGAGACUCACAGACUUACUAGGGCAGACUUUAGAGAAGGAUGGGUGCAGAACUGUUUGGGGGAUAGAUUGAAGGGAGCUCGGGAUGAAGAAACCCAGAAACCAAGGGUAAGGGAAGACUGGAUAAUAGCCCUACCACCUUUAGGGAGUUCACCAUCAGCAGAAGAUCUGGAGAUUCAACAACCACACCUUUGCAAGGAUUCCUCCAUCGUAAAUCAUCUAAUGAAGCUGGUUUUGAAGAGCGAGGCACACAGAACCCUUACGAGGCCCCCACCAUCAGGAUCCCUGGAGCAAGUUAAUUUCGCAGAGAGGAGCACUAACGACUGCUCCAUUGGACUGAAUCAUCAUAGAUCGGCAUCAUUUCAAGGCAGAAUGAAGCUUUUUUUUUUUUUUUUUUUUUUAGGGUUUUGCUAGAUAGGAAAGUGGUAAGUAGCGAUCAAAAGGAAAGGAUCGAAAGAAGCAUGAUGAAGAAAAGGAGAUGCAGAGAGCACCUUAGUCGAUUAGGGUUUUCUGGAAACAAAGGGGCUACCAUACUGGUAGAUCAGUCCUCGCGGAAGUUUUGGAGAGAAGGAAGCUACCAU